GGCUGCGCACUUCGGUCUUUUAGGUUGGCGUUCGCGAUCGUUUGGUCGUGUGGUAGGUGAGUGGGUGUUGUGGGCUAGUACCCGAGCAAAAGAUGGUGGCGCAGGCCGAGGAACAAUGGCGCUGUCUUCAGUGGCACAGCGGAGCAGCUCUGAAGAUGCAAAGAUACACGAAAAAACUUCCAGAACAUCUGGGAGAAUAUUUAAUGGAAAAUCUCUUGGUUAAAACCUGACACUCUUUAACAGCAUUCUGAGUGUGGACGAGUAGCCAGUGAAGAUAGUGAAUGUCGAAUGUGACUGACUAGCAGCUUCAUUUUGAAUGAGGGUCGCUGUCUGCCCAUUGAUAGAGGCCAGAUUGUCUUGGAAGUUCCAAAGUUGCAACGAUUUCUGGCUAGUGCCACGAGGUUUACUUGACUGUGUGAAAAGCUGAUAAGAAAACCAUCCAGAAAAAAGCUCUUCGUUUUACAAACAUGAAAAUAAAACUUAGUUGAAUCCAUGGACAUGAAACCCACAGAUAUAGAGGGUUGGCCCGGUGCAGUGGCUCACGCCUGUAAUCACAGCACUUUGGGAGGCCAAGGCGGGUGGAUCACCUGAGGUCAGAAGCUUGAGACCAGCCUGGCCAACAUGGUAAAACCCCAGCUCUACUAAUAAUACAAAACAAUUUGCUGGGCAUGGUGGCGCACACUUGUAAUCCAAGCUACUCCAGAGGCUGAGGCAGAAGAAUCGCUUGAAUCCGAGAGGCAAAGGUUGCAGUGAGCCCAGAUCACACCACUGCUCUCCAACCUGGGCAACAAGAGCAAAACUCUGUCAAAAAAAAAAAAGAUAGAGGGUCAACUGUACACAUUAAACACUUCUAUCAACUAGUGAUAUCAGUCUUGUCCAUUGUAUUAUUGCCUAUCUUACUAAGCAGUCAUAUUUCAGGAAGUACAACAUACUCAAAAACUAUGUUAAUGUUCUUUGUAGAUUUAUGGUUAAUGGAUGAGUCAUAUAAUAGAAACUUAAAUUUAUUUGACCAUUCUAUUUAAUAUAGAAUAAAUACAACUGGCCAGGCACGGUGGCUCAUGUCUAUAAUGCCAGCACUUGGGGAGGCCAAGGUGGGAGGAUCACUUGAGCAUAGGAAUUCAAGGCCAGCCUGGGCAACACAAUGUGAGACCCGUCUCUAUGAAAAUUUUAAAAAUUAGCCAAGCAUGGUAACACAAGUCUGUGGUCCCAGCUACUUGGGAGACUGAGGCGCAAGAAGUCCAGGAGGUCAACGCUGCAGUGAGCUGUGUCUGUGCCACUGCAUCCUAGCCUGGGCAACAGAGCAAGACCUUGUCUCAAAAAUAAAGAAUAAAUACAACCUAUUAAGCUUGAGAGAUCCAGUGAAAUCCAAAUAAGAGAAACUGUGUCCUACACAGUUUUCUGUUAACCAUUUUCUUGGUAUUUAAAUUAUUUAUCAAAUUUUAACUUCAAUAAAAAAUUAUUCUGGAGAACACAUACCUCUAGAGUAAGUAAAGUAUACAUUUUCAAUUUUUAGACAUGAGGUUUUGAGGUGUUUGACUGUAUCUAAUUUCCUAAAGGCUCUAUUUUUUAACCUAUAAAAAUUAUAAAAAGAUAUAUAAAAGAUAUGAAAUGUGAAAAUAAGGAAGAUAUGAAGAUUAAAAUAACCUAUAAUCCCACCACUCAGAGGUAACUGUUAUACAAUUUUUGAUGUAUUAUUCUAUGCAGAUAUUAAUUUUAAUAAAAUUUGAAUUAUA